rnacentral:rRNA from 1 species
UGGGGAAUAUUGCACAAUGGGCGCAAGCCUGAUGCAGCCAUGCCGCGUGUAUGAAGAAGGCCUUCGGGUUGUAAAGUACUUUCAGUCGGGAGGAAGGUGUCAAGGUUAAUAACCUUGGCAAUUGACGUUACCCGCAGAAGAAGCACCGGCUAACUCCGUGCCAGCAGCCGCGGUAAUACGGAGGGUGCAAGCGUUAAUCGGAAUUACUGGGCGUAAAGCGCACGCAGGCGGUCUGUCAAGUCGGAUGUGAAAUCCCCGGGCUCAACCUGGGAACUGCAUUCGAAACUGGCAGGCUAGAGUCGUGUAGAGGGGGGUAGAAUUCCAGGUGUAGCGGUGAAAUGCGUAGAGAUCUGGAGGAAUAACGGUGGCGAAGGCGGCCCCCUGGACAAAGACUGACGCUCAGGUGCGAAAGCGUGGGGAGCAAACAGG